GAGGAAUACAUCGGAAUCUGCCUUAUCGUGGGGGAUAACGUAGGGAAACUUACGCUAAUACCGCAUACGACCUACGGGUGAAAGCGGGGGAUCGCAAGACCUCGCGCGAUAAGAUGAGCCGAUGUCCGAUUAGCUAGUUGGCGGGGUAAUGGCCCACCAAGGCGACGAUCGGUAGCUGGUCUGAGAGGAUGAUCAGCCACACUGGAACUGAGACACGGUCCAGACUCCUACGGGAGGCAGCAGUGGGGAAUAUUGGACAAUGGGCGCAAGCCUGAUCCAGCCAUGCCGCGUGGGUGAAGAAGGCCUUCGGGUUGUAAAGCCUCUUUUGUCCGGAAAGAAAAGCAUCGGAUUAAUACUUCGGUGUUCUGACGGUACCGGAAGAAU
rnacentral:rRNA from 1 species